rnacentral:lncRNA from 1 species
CGAAGAUGGUGAAUGUGUUCCAUGGCCUGAGGGCAGGACAGACACUAUCUUCUACACUACUCUUGACUGAGAGCUAUGCCUGUGAUUAGAUGCGAUAAUAUACACGUGCGAAUAUGAUGCAGGAGUUAAGUAAAUGAAGAGAAGAAAAAGAGAAUUAAUAUUUAAUAUAUCAGAGGUACGUAAAAUCAUAGAGUCAUAGAGUCAUAGAGUCACAGAAUCAUAGAAUCAUAGAAUGGCCUAGGUUGAAAAGGACCUCAAAGAUCACUGAGUUUCAACCCCCCUGCUGUGUGCAGGGUCACCAACCACUGCC